rnacentral:rRNA from 1 species
AUUGAACGCUGGCGGCAGGCCUAACACAUGCAAGUCGAACGAGUGGCGGACGGGUGAGUAAUGUCUGGGAAACUGCCCGAUGGAGGGGGAUAACUACUGGAAACGGUAGCUAAUACCGCAUACUAUCGGAUGUACCCAGAUGGGAUUAGCUAGUAGGUGGGGUAACGGCUCACCUAGGCGACGAUCCCUAGCUGGUCUGAGAGGAUGACCAGCCACAAUGGAACUGAGACACGGUCCAGACACCUACGGGAGGCAGCAGUGGGGAAUAUUGCACAAUGGGGGAAAGCCUGAUGCAGCCAGGCCGCGGGUAUGAAGGAGGCCUUCGGGUUGUAAAGUACUUUCAGCGGGGAGGCGUUACCCGCAGAAGAAGCACCGGCUAACUCCGUUCCAGCAGCCGCGGUAAUUC